ACACACGUCGAAUGUCAACGUCGCAAUGCUUGUAAUUGAGCAACACCAAUGGUUAUAUGAAAGCUCAUGUCCCAUUCGAGAUAUGUGUCUUCUAGUCUGCGAACGCGUUUCCAUGUUACAGUGCGCCUCUUUAAUUCUUCAGAGCUUUUCAACUGAGGAGAGCACGGUCACACAGAGUUGUCCAUACUGACUCAACGUAUGAACCAUGACCCCGCUUGGCCGCUUCUACCACUGACCAGCUGCUUUUGGAGCAGCUCUCCAUUAGUCGUGCUUCCGUUUCUUUCAGGCCUGAGUUGUUUGAUGUGACUGCUGACUCGUCCAGGAAACCAGGGACCUAUAGCAAACACUUCCCGAACUCGGUCCUGGGGACCCCAAGGUGUGGACAUUUUUUGGAGGGGUUUAAUCUCUAGCAUGACUACACAGCUGAUUCAAUUAAUCAAUUCGUAAUGAAGCUUUGAUUAUUUGAAUAAACUGUGUAAUGUACCACGUUCGAAGUCGCUCAGGUCACUGGUUUUGCCCAUUCUAAUGUUCAAUCAGUAACUGAAUGCCUUGAUGCCUGUCUGCCUGGUUUAUAUAGCAAGCCAAGGCCACAUGACUCACUGUCUGUAGGAGCGAUACAUUUUCAUGAAAGGUUGGUGUACCUAAUAAACUGUCUGGUGAAUGUAUAUCACCGGCAGUAGCCUACAGUUACCGUUAAUUCCCAUAAUUUACAGUUGAAAGUCGGAAGUUUACAUACACCUGAGCCAAAUACAUUUAAACUCAGUUUUUCACAAUUCCUGACAUUUAAUCCUUGUAAAAAUUCCCUGUUUUUAGGUCAGUUAGGAUCACCACUUUAUUUUAAGAAUGUGAAAUGUCAGAAUAAUAGUAGAGAGAAUGAUUUAUUUCAGCUUUUAUUUCUUUCAUCACAUUCCCAGUGGGUCAGAAGUUUACAUACAUUCAAUCAGUAUUUGGUAACAUUGCCUUCAAAAUGAUUAACUUGGGUCAAACAUUUUGGGUAGCCUUCCACAAGCUUCCCACAAUAAGUUGGGUGAAUUUUGGCCCAUUCCUCCUGACAGAGCUGGUGUAACUGAGUCAGGUUUUUAGGCCUCCUUGCUCGCACACACUUUUUCAGUUCUACCCACAAUUUUUCUUAGGAUUGAGGUCAGGGCUUUGUGAUGGCCACUCUAAUACCUUGACUUUGUUGUCCUUUAGCCAUUUUGC
rnacentral:lncRNA from 1 species